UACCCAAUGAUAUCUCUAGAAGACAUCUGAAAGAGAUUAAAGAUUUAUCGGUGAUGGAUGGGGAUGCGUCUGAUUAGCUUGUGGGCGGGGUAACGGCCCACCAAGGCGACGAUCAGUAGGGGUUCUGAGAGGAAGGUCCCCCACAUUGGAACUGAGACACGGUCCAAACUCCUACGGGAGGCAGCAGUGAGGAAUAUUGGUCAAUGGACGAGAGUCUGAACCAGCCAAGUAGCGUGCAGGAUGACGGCCCUAUGGGUUGUAAACUGCUUUUAUAAGGGAAUAAAGUGAGAGUCGUGACUCUUUUUGCAUGUACCUUAUGAAUAAGGACCGGCUAAUUCCGUGCCAGCAGCCGCGGUAAUACGGAAGGUCCGGGCGUUAUCCGGAUUUAUUGGGUUUAAGGGGAGCGUAGGCCGGAGAUUAAGCGUGUUGUGAAAUGUAGACGCUCAACGUCUGCACUGCAGCGCGAACUGGUUUCCUUGAGUACGCACAAAGUGGGCGGAAUUCGUGGUGUAGCGGUGAAAUGCUUAGAUAUCACGAAGAACUCCGAUUGCGAAGGCAGCUCACUGGAGCGCAACUGACGCUGAAGCUCGAAAGUGCGGGUAUCGAACAGGAUUAGAUACCCUGGUAGUCCGCACGGUAAACGAUGGAUGCC
rnacentral:rRNA from 1 species